rnacentral:lncRNA from 1 species
GUUUAAUCAGGUAGGUUAUUGAGAACACAGUCUCUUACAAAAACAACCAAGAGAAGGCCUACGAAAAGGCCGUAGGGACAAUUCAUGUCUAUGUAUUGGGAUGGAGUUUGUUAAUUGAAAAUGGACUAUCUAUAACAACUUUGACUUUAAUUAAAUGAUUACAGCAUUUUAUUUUUGUAACUACUUUUCCAUGAUUAUUUAUAUAUUUCUGCCCUAACUACAUUUAUACAAAAAAAAUAAGUUUUUUUGUAUCCACUGGCAUAUGCACAGCUUUAACGCUGUCCAAAUGGAGAGAAAGACCAGAAGAAGAAAGAAACAGAGAAGACAAUAUUGAUCAGCACCUUUCAUCUUCAAUACUGGUGGCUUUCAUCUUCAAUACUGGUGGCUUUCAUCUUCAAUACUGGUGGCUUUCAUCUUCAAUACUGGUGGCUUUAUAAUGGUGGCUUAUACUGUUGGCUUUAUACUGGUGGGCUUUAUACUGGUGGCUUUAUACUGGUGGCUUUCAUCUUCAAUACUGGUGGCUUUCAUCUUCAAUACUGGUGGCUUUAUACUGGUGGCUUUCAUCUUCAAUUCUGGUGGCUUUCAUCUUCAAUACUGGAUGGUUUUCAUCUUCAAUACUGGUGGCUUUAUACUGGUGGCUUUAUACUGGUGGUUUUCAUCUUCAAUACUGGUGGCUUUCAUCUUCCAUUGUACUCUUAAUAGGGAACACUCACUUUGA